rnacentral:snRNA from 1 species
AGAUGUGAGUGCAAUCUGGCUACGACAUCUGUCACCCUAUUGAUCGUCAGGGUGGAUUCGUCUGUUCUGUCUUGCUAGGCAGGCAUCCCCUUCCUUCCUCACCACACCCUGUGUGUCCGUCCUGAAGUUGUGCACUUGGUCUACAAGGAUGGCCUUCCCUGAAUAGAGACCAACCAGUCUUUGGUCGAGAGUAUAAAAAUAGCUGCGCUCCCCUGCUAGAACCUCCAAACAAGCUCUCAAGCAACAUUCAUAAGAAUGGUAAUCAGGGUUUUGUGGUCGAUAAAUGGUGUUAUAACAAUUGAGAUGCAUGCUUUUGAACUUUAAU